rnacentral:lncRNA from 1 species
AUGGAUACACAUGCACACAUACAAGCUCAUUUCCUUUAUUAAAGCAUUUAUUUUUCUCAGAUUCCAAGACAGCUUUUAUUGCUUGUGUACAACUGAAUGAGCCAUUGAGUUAAUACUACUGUGUGAAGUUCAGGAAAGACCAGCAAACAUUCUUCUAAUAAGAGGAUAUUCUGGUCCUCUUGAUAAUCAACCCCCCAUUGUAAACUCAUUUUGAGUCACAGUUUUAAAUCUUUGUUCCAGUGGAAAAGAUUUUUAUGGUCAGCCCAAACAAGCAUUAAAUCCUGUUUUUUAGCAAGAGUUGCCUAAAAUAGUACAGAUUCCAAAUCGGAAGAGUGACUCUAGGGAAAAGAGAAAAAGUUGAAACAAUACAAAUCAUGGUUUGGUGGCACAAACCUUCUGUCCCACCCCAAACCAUGAUAGAAAUUUGGCAGAGACAUUAGGCUGGGUUUCCUUGCUGUGAAAUGCUGCAUGUUUUAGAUGGCUGUAUGGAACUGGAUUUAGAUCUUCCCUGUGGGUGGUUGUCCCCCUUUAUUUUAGAGAUUCCAGUAAAUCACUUUGGUGGAGUUUCCACUGGUUUUCUUCUGUGCAGCCUUAUUCCCCUGUAUUCUACAACCUUUCUGUAUUUGGAGGGGAAUAUUUUUCUGGGAAAUGUGCCCAUGGUUUGGAAACGUGGUGUCUUUGGGGGGUUUUGAACUCCCAUUUCCUUGCCCUUCUCCCCUACUACUUAGGCAAGUAGAGCUUCCCAGAGUGGACCCAUAGCUCUUCUACUGCGUUUCUUUUCAGUCACUGGAAUUGCCACGGCAGCAGCAGCUCUUGGGAUUAUGAUUUUGUCACGACAGAGGAUUAAGUCAGGGCAGUCCACAUUGUGGGGAGGGUGCAACUGGAGUGGCAGCAAGAUGGUGGUGGGCUGAGAGGAGUCAGUGCCAAGGUGAGCUGGGAAACCCGCAUGAUUUUAUGGGGAUAUUGAGGUGCCCAUGCUCUCCAAGCUUUGCUGGCAGCAUUACAGCAACGUAGCUUAGAUCUCUUAAAGCACAUCCUGCUCUUCCUGAGCAAUCCGCUGUUGAAAUGUUGCAAGCAUUGUUCCUAUUUCUCUCUGUCCAGGCAUGGAUCUUAGUGCUCACAUAUGCAUCUCUGUACCCCUUACUUGGGUUUGCCUCUGGAGGCCAGGUUUGAUCCCUGUGCAGUUGCUCCUGUGCCUGUAGUGCUGCAAGCACAGGUGAACUGCCUCCCAUGUGACCAUGUCCUUUUGUGGUGAUAUCCUAGCUUGUCUUCAGCUGAGUACUCACUCUCCUCUUGCCGUGUCCUUUGCUGGUGCAGCUGGCAUAUGGCAGCUCUUUGAUAUGCUGACUUUGGAAACUUGCAGUGCAGCUGCCCAGUGUUCAGUGUAAUAUCUCAUUGUGCAGUUUCCCACACCCUGUCCUUGAGUUGAGACUCGUCCCCUUGUAUCUCGAUCCUACCCUCGGUCCUCCAGCAUUCUUCCUGUUUGCUGAUGGCAGAGUGACCAGAGAACUGAGCAUCUACUCACUUUGCUCUCAGUGUGGUCUGCCUUAGAAAUGCUGUAGAGGUAAGUAACCCUCUGAGCUGCAGAGAGGACUCUAACUGGCUGGGGCUAGCUCAGGACACACCUGGUGUACUCUUACUCUGAGCAAAUAAGAACUAUGCUUUCCUUACUUCUUUAUCACAUGGGAACAGCAGCCAGGGUAUAAAGAGGCUUUACACCGCACAGGUUGUGAGCAUGCCCUGCUUUCCAUUUCUUUGUCUCACAUACUUUCUUUGUUCUUGUGGCUGUGACAUUGAAGCAUUUUUCCAAAAUUGAAGGUGAUAGUGAUUUUAGUCUUUACUGUAGAACAGUCCCUGAGCUGAGAAGAACGGUGAUGUUAGCAUAUGGAACUGACGUAUUUAUUAUUGAUGAUACCUUUAAAUGAUUAAACAUUUUUUUCAUUGCAUUAUUUAGGGGAAUUAUGAUAUUCAUCAUUAAUGGAAAGAUGUCUGUCUAGGGAAAUGCUUGAUUCAUACUCAUAAAUACCUUCUCUCCUAAUUAUUUCCUUCCUAUUGGCUUCUCCCAGCUCUUGCUUUUCCUUUUGGAGUAAGUGUUCAUUCCCUAAAUACCCCCUGCUAAAUGCUGAGGUGUUUUCUAGCCAGGUAACCAAGACAGCACUUAAAUAAGAGACAUGGUAAUUCAAGAAAGGAAGUAAUGCUUAGAAAGCCUCAUCACGUUUGAGAACUCUUGCUAGCAAAUAUUAAUCAGAUUAAUGUUUUUUUUAUUUUACUAUCAAAUAUGCUGGAAGCAUGAUCAUUCCUUCCAUUAUGUGUGUUUGUCUCCCCAUGGUAUGGUGUGUUAUUGUAGCAGGGUUUUAUUAAAAAUAGGACAAAAUUAACUGAUAGCUCGGUUUUGGUAGGGUAGGCUUCCCCAGGUGCAUGAAGACAUGGGUCAGGUUCAAUAUGUUGUAGAGAUUCUGUCAGUGACCCGAUGUUACUUCGAUCUUGGGUAUUCUGAUAUCGUGUGAAAAUCUUGAUAACGUGAUCCUCAGCUUCCUUAACAUCUCUGAAAACCUGCACCUCAUUUCUCUUGAUUCUUUGGAGCAAGCAGUUCUUGUCCUUACCCAGGUAUCUGUUGCUCAUCAGAACAGAAAAAUAAGCAUCCUUGCUCUUGCAGUUUUUUUUUUUUUUUUGGCUUUCACUUGUGGAAGUGAAGAUGGAGUCUUUCUGCACCAGGGUCAUGAAUGCUUUUU